GACGAACGCUGGCGGCGUGCUUAACACAUGCAAGUCGAACGGAAAGGCCUUGCUUUUGUGGGGUGCUCAAGUGGCGAACGGGUGAGUAACACGUGAGUAACCUGCCCUUGACUUUGGGAUAACUUCAGGAAACUGGGGCUAAUACCGGAUAGGAGCUCCUGCUGCAUGGUGGGGGUUGGAAAGUUUCGGCGGUUGGGGAUGGACUCGCGGCUUAUCAGCUUGUUGGUGGGGUAGUGGCUUACCAAGGCUUUGACGGGUAGCCGGCCUGAGAGGGUGACCGGCCACAUUGGGACUGAGAUACGGCCCAGACUCCUACGGGAGGCAGCAGUGGGGAAUAUUGCACAAUGGGCGGAAGCCUGAUGCAGCAACGCCGCGGGCGGGAUGACGGCCUUCGGGUUGUAAACCGCUUUCGCCUGUGACGAAGCGUGAGUGACGGUAAUGGGUAAAGAAGCACCGGCUAACUAC
rnacentral:rRNA from 1 species